rnacentral:rRNA from 1 species
CCCUAUACAUGGCAAGUCGAACGAACUCUGGUAUUGAUUGGUGCUUGCAUCAUGAUUUACAUUUGAGUGAGUGGCGAACUGGUGAGUAACACGUGGGAAACCUGCCCAGAAGCGGGGGAUAACACCUGGAAACAGAUGCUAAUACCGCAUAACAACUUGGACCGCAUGGUCCGAGUUUGAAAGAUGGCUUCGGCUAUCACUUUUGGAUGGUCCCGCGGCGUAUUAGCUAGAUGGUGGGGUAACGGCUCACCAUGGCAAUGAUACGUAGCCGACCUGAGAGGGUAAUCGGCCACAUUGGGACUGAGACACGGCCCAAACUCCUACGGGAGGCAGCAGUAGGGAAUCUUCCACAAUGGACGAAAGUCUGAUGGAGCAACGCCGCGUGAGUGAAGAAGGGUUUCGGCUCGUAAAACUCUGUUGUUAAAGAAGAACAUAUCUGAGAGUAACUGUUCAGGUAUUGACGGUAUUUAACCAGAAAGCCACGGCUAACUACGUGCCAGCAGCCGCGGUAAUACGUAGGUGGCAAGCGUUGUCCGGAUUUAUUGGGCGUAAAGCGAGCGCAGGCGGUUUUUUAAGUCUGAUGUGAAAGCCUUCGGCUCAACCGAAGAAGUGCAUCGGAAACUGGGAAACUUGAGUGCAGAAGAGGACAGUGGAACUCCAUGUGUAGCGGUGAAAUGCGUAGAUAUAUGGAAGAACACCAGUGGCGAAGGCGGCUGUCUGGUCUGUAACUGACGCUGAGGCUCGAAAGUAUGGGUAGCAAACAGGAUUAGAUACCCUGGUAGUCCAUACCGUAAACGAUGAAUGCUAAGUGUUGGAGGGUUUCCGCCCUUCAGUGCUGCAGCUAACGCAUUAAGCAUUCCGCCUGGGGAGUACGGCCGCAAGGCUGAAACUCAAAGGAAUUGACGGGGGCCCGCACAAGCGGUGGAGCAUGUGGUUUAAUUCGAAGCUACGCGAAGAACCUUACCAGGUCUUGACAUACUAUGCAAAUCUAGAGAUUAGACGUUCCCUUCGGGGACAUGGAUACAGGUGGUGCAUGAUGUCGUCAGCUCGUGUCGUGAGAUGUGGUAGUCCCGCACGAGCGCACCCUUAUUAUCAGUGCCAGCAUUAAGUUGGGCACCUUCUGGGUGGAGAACUGCCCGGUGG